rnacentral:rRNA from 1 species
UUUAACUGAAGAGUUUGAUCAUGGCUCAGAUUGAACGCUGGCGGCAGGCUUAACACAUGCAAGUCGAGCGGGGGAAGGUAGCUUGCUACCGGACCUAGCGGCGGACGGGUGAGUAAUGCUUAGGAAUCUGCCUAUUAGUGGGGGACAACAUCUCGAAAGGGAUGCUAAUACCGCAUACGUCCUACGGGAGAAAGCAGGGGAUCUUCGGACCUUGCGCUAAUAGAUGAGCCUAAGUCGGAUUAGCUAGUUGGUGGGGUAAAGGCCUACCAAGGCGACGAUCUGUAGCGGGUCUGAGAGGAUGAUCCGCCACACUGGGACUGAGACACGGCCCAGACUCCUACGGGAGGCAGCAGUGGGGAAUAUUGGACAAUGGGGGGAAC